rnacentral:rRNA from 2 species
UUCGCCCUUUUCCGGUUGAUCCCGCCGGACCCGACUGCUAUCGGAUUGAGAUUUAGCCAUGCGAGUCGAACGCUUCCCUGUUGCGGGAGGCGUGGCGUACGGCUCAGUAACACGUAGUCAACCUGCCCUGGAGACAUGGACAACCCCGGGAAACUGGGAUUAAUCCAUGAUAGGUCAUCUCAUCUGGAAGGAGAGAUGGCUUAAAGGGGUGCGAGAGCUUCUUUCUUGUAUCUGCUCCAGGAUGGGACUGCGGCCGAUCAGGCUGUUGGUGGGGUAAUGGCCCACCAAACCUGUAACCGGUACGGGCCUUGAGAGAGGGGGCCCGGAGAUGGACACUGAGAGAAGGGUCCAGGUCCUACGGGGCGCAGCAGGCGCGAAACCUUCGCAAUGCGCGAAAGCGUGACGAGGUUAAUCCGAGUGGUCCCCGCUGAGGGGAUCUUUUGUCGGCUGUAAAAAGGCCGGUGAAUAAGGGGAGGGCAAGUCUGGUGUCAGCCGCCGCGGUAAUACCAGCUCCUCGAGUGGUCGGGGCGAUUAUUGGGCCUAAAGCAUCCGUAGCCUGUUCUGUAGGUCCUCUGUUAAAUCCAACGGCUUAACCGUUGGCCCGCAGAGGAUACCGCAGGACUAGGAGGCGGGAGAGGUGGACGGUACUCCACGUGUAGGGGUAAAAUCCUUUAAUCCGUGGAAGACCACCAGUGGCGAAGGCGGUCCACCAGAACGCGCUCGACGGUGAGGGAUGAAAGCUGGGGGAGCGAACCGGAUUAGAUACCCGGGUAGUCCCAGCCGUAAACGAUGCAAGCUAGAUGAUCCGGUCGCAAAUCGCGAUCGGAGUGUCGCAGGGAAGCCGUUAAGCUUGCCGCCUGGGGAGUACGGUCGCAAGACUGAAACUUAAAGGAAUUGGCGGGGGAGCACCACAAGGGGUGAAGCCUGCGGUUCAAUUGGAGUCAACGCCAGGAAACUUACCAGGAGAGACAGCAGGUUGAGGGUCAAGCUGAAGACUUUACCUGACGAGCUGAGAGGAGGUGCAUGGCCGUCGCCAGCUCGUGCCGUGAGGCGUCCUGUUAAGUCAGGCAACGAGCGAGACCCAAAGGGCGA